AGACCCCACGGCGCCAGACUCUGCCUUGACUUGAAAUCCUAGUUAAGGAUUUCAGGACAUUUGCAUCUGAAAUCCACUUUCCCUGGGAUUCAAACCUCCCCCCCACCAACUUUGUGUUGGGUCUGAGAGAGGGUGUGGAACCCAAGUGUUUAUUUCUUUGGUAUUGUCGACCUGUAGACAAAGCCAGAAAGUUUUCUCUGAAACUCAAGCUGUCAGAAUAGCGUACCUUUUUAGGGGGACUUAAGAGCUUUAAUUUCAAAUGCUGGGUCAUGUUUUCCCUGGCCUUCCUUCUAUGGGGCUUUCUGUAUUCACUGUGGUGCCGUCGUUAGCUGUCUGUAGGCAGAGCACGACUGUCCACAGGGUUCACUGGACCUGGGGUACAUUCGUUACCUGGGUUGUGCUUUAAAAAUAGCCCACACUUGUGCCUGGACGGACUUGUCUGCCGGGCUCAGGGCAGCUCGUCCCCUGCCUGGAAGUUUGCAUUCUGAGCAUCUGGGUGGAAGCGCCUUCUUGUGGCUGGUGCAACAGCAGCAACUAUGUCACCUGUUUCACUCCCAUAAAUUGAGGAUGUGUAUUUUGUGAGUGUGGGAGGAAUAACUGCUCCUUUCUUUUACGAGGUAACCUGCAUCCGCGUUCAGUGGUAGUUCUGUGGUGGUUGCACAAGAGGGUGGACUUGCUGUCUGCAGAAGUCUGUCUCAGAUGCUCAAGAUGUCUACCAACACAGCCGGCUUCAUCCAAUUACAACACUUUCUGCAAACUUGGCGGGAAUCUCACAUUGCUCUUUCUACUUGUCUUCUUACUCUUCUCAAGGAGGAAUAUUUAGAGUUGAAAUUUUAAGAAAAUGAACAGGUUGCUGGAGACAAGUUGUAACAUUAACCUGGUACAUGGAGUGCACUCAAGUGUAACUGCUUUCUUUGUAAAAGUGGUCAUAGCUUAAAGCUACAAGGAGCAACCCACCCUCCCACCCCAUCAGGAAGUGUUGGUUUUGAAAUUUGCACGAAGACUAUGGGCAGAUUUUUACCCCCCCACACUUCAAUUGCUCUCAUUGAAUAGUUUAAAAACGUUGUAACCUUAUUCUCGUUUCUUAGACUUUUCCCCUUUAAAUAGCGUUUUCAGGGUGAGUCUUAUGAAGGCAUCCGAGUACUGGUGCCCUCUGGAUUUUAAAACGGAGAGUGGUGUUUAUUCUUACAGAGGGGGAUGAAUUUGGUAAGACUAGAACCCAGAGCCCUGCCUAGUUAAGCCAGACUCCACCAGGCAUGCAAGAGUGCUUUGCGAUGUAAAGGCAGUGCGUAUUUCCAAGCAUUGUCCCAGACAGUUUUUCUCCAGUCCUUACAACAUCCUUGUGAAGCUGACAGAGCAGAUGUCUCUGUUCUGCUUCUCUGUGUACCAGAUCUCUGGCUCAAAGACGCUCGAUUGCUUGCUUAUACUCCCCAGCACGGUAAGUCACAAAGUUUGGGCUCACGGGUGCUUUUCCCACAAUUCAUUCAACGAACAUGUAUGGAGCAUUUUGUGUGCCGGGAAGUAGGCUUGUAAACAAAGUGGGUCUGUCAGAAAAUAAUGAGUCCCAGGGAUGAAGAGUACAGCCUAGGGAAUAUAGGUGAUAAUACUGUGCGAGGGCUGUAGGGUGUCCGAUGGGGACAGCACAGAUCGUGGUGAGCACUGCGGAGCGUACUGAACCGUCGAACCACUCUGUUGUGCACCUGAAACUAAUAUGACACUGCGUGUCAACUAAACUUCACUAAUUAAAAAAGGAAGAAAGACUAUGUGGGUCUGUCUAAAAUUGGGUCUGGAGGUUACAGUCUAGUGAGCAAGUAAGCCAACACAAUGUUAGACUGUGAGGAAGGAAGCUCACUGGGCAUUGAGAUGGAGAAAAAUAUGUGGGGGGGGCACCUCGGAUAAUUGGAUAAUCAAUGGAUGAUCGGAUAAUCCAUGAGAAAGACCUGAAGCCCGCAGGAGGAGAGGGGGCCGGGCAAUGUGUGGCUGGGGUGUGGGAGAGGAUAGGAGAUGAAGAUUUGUGAGGGUCUCAAAAAUUACGUUCAGAGUUUCUGUAAUCAUUGCACGUUCAGUUUUCCAAUCCUGUUUUAAUGCUUGAUUUUGAAUUAGGAAAAUUACUUGGGUAAUUUCAUCCAUGUACUAUUCUGUCUCGGGAUUCGUGUCAUUAUUCAGUAGAUUGGGGUCUGUGCGUAAUAAAAAAGCAGCAAAUAUGAUCCUUGGCCUUCAAAAGCUUUCAAUUUAAUUAGGAAGACAAGGUGUAUCUCCAUGAAACCAACAAGUAAUUGCCACUUGUAGUUAUCUAGAAAAUUCUAAAGGCAGCAUAUAAUCAAGCCUGUAAUGUAACAUGAAUUAUAUAUAAAAUGUUGCAAGAACACACAGAGGAUGGUUUCAGGCACAUUCAUGAAGUCAAGAAGAGUCUCUCAGAAGAGUUGUCAGGAGUUGGACCUUGAAGGAAGUGUUGGCUGCUGCCCUCGUACCAGAGCACCAGAAAGAUAAGACACUUGGAUGGGGCUGUAUAGACCAGAGCGAAAGUGCAUGAAUAAAGCCACAGAGGAAAGGAACAAGCCGAAGGGAGGGUAGGAAUGGUGAAAAUAAUACCAAUAACUACCGGUUAUCGAAUUCCUAUGAAGAACAAGCACUUUGGUGGGAGCCUUACAAAAAUUGUCUUAUUUAAAUCUUUUCCUUUCCUUUCCUUUUUUCCUUCUUUCCUCCUUUCUUUUUCCUGCCUUCC